rnacentral:rRNA from 1 species
AAGACCUUGCGCUUUGGGAGCGGCCGAUGUCUGAUUAGCUAGUUGGUGGGGUAAAGGCCUACCAAGGCGACGAUCAGUAGCUGGUCUGAGAGGAUGAUCAGCCACACUGGGACUGAGACACGGCCCAGACUCCUACGGGAGGCAGCAGUGGGGAAUUUUGGACAAUGGGCGCAAGCCUGAUCCAGCAAUGCCGCGUGAGUGAAGAAGGCCUUCGGGUUGUAAAGCUCUUUCAGUUGAGAAGAAAGAAUUCUGGUUAAUACCUGGAAUUUAUGACGGUAUCGACAGAAGAAGCACCGGCUAACUACGUGCCAGCAGCCGCGGUAAUACGUAGGGUGCAAGCGUUAAUCGGAAUUACUGGGCGUAAAGGGUGCGCAGGUGGUUUUGUAAGUCAGAUGUGAAAUCCCCGGGCUUAACCUGGGAAUU